UAUUAUUCCUGUAGUUGAAAUACAACGGUGGUUCUUCGUGUCGCUGGUCAUGGGUGUAGCCAUGUAGGAAUA
rnacentral:tRNA from 1 species